rnacentral:rRNA from 1 species
GACGAACGCUGGCGGCGUGCUUAACACAUGCAAGUCGAACGGUGAAGGGACCGGUUUUUGCUGGUUCUGGAUGAGUGGCGAACGGGUGAGUAACACGUGAGUAACCUGCCCCCUUCUUCUGGAUAACCGCAUGAAAGUGUGGCUAAUACGGGAUAUUCUGCGCCUGCUGCAUGGUGGGUGUGGGAAAGAUAUUGUUUCGGUGGGGGAUGGGCUCGCGGCCUAUCAGCUUGUUGGUGGGGUGAUGGCCUACCAAGGCGGUGACGGGUAGCCGGCCUGAGAGGGUGGACGGUCACACUGGGACUGAGACACGGCCCAGACUCCUACGGGAGGCAGCAGUGGGGAAUAUUGCACAAUGGGCGAAAGCCUGAUGCAGCGACGCCGCGUGAGGGAUGGAGGCCUUCGGGUUGUAAACCUCUUUCGCCAGUGAAGCAGGCCUGUCCCUUUUGUGGGUGGGUUGACGGUAGCUGGAUAAGAAGCGCCGGCUAACUACGUG